CCUGUUUAGAAAGACACAAGAAAAGCAGCUGCUGCAUCCUACAACAGGUUCCAGGUACUUGUUCGAGGCUGUACUUUCAUCCUGAGAAUCGCAGUGAACUGCAGCUUUGGAAACUGAUCACAGAAGUAGCGGCUACUCUGACAUCCAGGAUGCAAAAGAAGCCGAGGAUACCUACCUACCCGAAUUGCUCCUUGAUUAGUGCUCAAGACAUUCGACAGUAUGACAUUUUCAUUUCCAGCCACCUAGUGACGGUGAAUCCUAUUAAAGGAUCCUUAGAAUAUCCUUUCCAAAACAAAGAUCAGUAGUGAAACCUAAUCACGGAAGCAGUUAAAGGAGGUGAACGAGAGAUUCUGUGCAGCCAGACAAGACUUUGAAGAGGCAGUUCUGGAGACAUUAGACACAAAGCAAUAUUAAGAGAAGACAGAUGUAUCCCAAGGUGCCUGUGCCCAGGAAAGGUUAAAGUCAAAUUUGUGUCUGCAACAAAGGUAUAUGAACCCCCCAGUCACCCCUCAUUAAUAAUAAAAUGGGUACCUCUUGCCACAAAAGCAACCUAGCAAGUUGAUCUUGAGACACACUGAGGUAAGACUGUAGUUAUCAUUUCUGUUUUUAUAAAUAGCAUUGUUAAUGUCCCUUGUGGGCUUGUUAUGGGGCCUUCCAAAAAUACACUUCUAUAUAUUUUAUUUCUCAAAAUUUUAUGCUAUACAAUAAAAUGCUAUUAUUUGAGGAGAAAUGGGAGAUAUUCUAAAAAAAUCAAACAUGUAAUGAGCUAUACCAGGUAUACUGAAAAAAAAAUGUCAAGUUCACUAAAUUUAAUUUUAAAAAGUUUUUAUUUUACAAGGAAAUAAGGCUAAAUUAUGGCUCCAAAUUAUAAUUCUUAUGAUUUGGGCUUGAUGGUCAUCCCAAUACUACUGUUAUCUUUAAAUUGGCAUGGCUGGGUUCAAUUCUACCCAGGGCAGAAGCAUGCCCUCAUUUUCCUGAUGCUCAGGCUCUCUGUCCUUUUAGGUAACUAAAAUCUUUAGCAUAAUCUUCCUGUGAAGAUGCUACAAGUGACUCCAUUGUGGGUGGACCUAUAAAGGCCAGCUGGUAUUUUCUCCUGUGUGUGGACAGUGUAAAGAUGUUGACUUGACAUCUUGUUGAUGUGACCUUUUAGCAUACACACCUGAGUUUUGGUGCCCAUGACCUUACUGGGUCAAAUGGCCACCACACAAUCUGCCAGAAGGGAUGCUCCCCUGUUAAGAGCAGGGUGUCAUCUGACUGUAGAUUGCUGACUUGAGGUCUUGCCCAAUAGGACUUUUCCUUCCACAGUAUAUGUACAGUAGACUCAAAAGGCAGUGAGCACAUUCAAAGCUACAUGGUCACUCUUACUUUGCCUUAAUCUUCAGUCUUCAAGGAGCUCAAGGCUGGGGCAGCCAGUUCUCAUGAUCUGCCUACCUUUCCUGCCCCUAUGAGGAAGAUUUUCACUUCAUUUCAAGCUAGCUUUACUUUGCCUCUGGUCUCCACUAAUCCUUUGGUGAGCAACCUUACCUACCUUUGUCAAGGACAGAAUGUUUUCCCAGUUUUCAUAUAGCAUGAAUGGUGUAUAUGCAGUUUAGGCUACACAACAGUGGAAGAGGGGCAAACAACAUGCCCCAGAUUGCUAGGUCUCCUGGGAAAAGACCCAGCAUCACUCACCUUUACAGCAAACCUUCCCCCAGUGUCCUGAAAUUCCUGUCCCCAACUGUGCAUGUUCCCCAUCAUUCCUGUCCACUUACUUUAUUCAAAUGCACUGCACUCUUUAUCUUGUAGCUUUCAGAUAGAAUGUUCCAAAUUCCUGGCCAUUUACCCAGAAAUCUCAGUUCCCUAUAGGUAAUUCAUCUGCUGAGGCCCAUUCUUAUUCCUAAGUUUCCUAAACAACUUGAGACUCAGGGAAUAACUAAUAGUCAUUUGUCAAUUAUUUUCAAACCACAAGUUUCUGCUGGAGGCUCCAUGGAAGCAGGAUGGGGGCAGCUUGUGUUUCGUUUUGAUGCAUUCCCCAGCAGUUCCAAGAGCCAUGCCUUUCAUGCAACCAACAUUCAUUAACAACAACAACAACAACAACAACAACAACAACAAAAACCUAACAAUAUAGAAUGCAGAAUAAAUCUUUAAGCCCUCAACAUAUUUCAAAACUUGUUUUUAUGAACAAAUCAGUAACUGACAAUCAUUUAUAUAUAUGGAGUGCUUUUGGUCUCUUAAGCAUAAAUAAGAGAGAUGGAAAGGGGAAAACACUCACCAUG